rnacentral:rRNA from 1 species
UACUAGAGUAGCACUCGCAUAUCAAUAAGCGGAGGAAAAGAAACUAACAAGGAUUCCCCUAGUAACGGCGAGUGAAGCGUGAAGAGCUCAAAUUUGAAAUCUUAAAGGGUUUCCCUUUACGAAUUGUAGUUUAAAGAAGUGUUUUCUGUUGAGGUUUUGGUAAAAGUUCUUUGGAAUAGGACAUCAUAGAGGGUGAGAAUCCCGUAUUUGACCUUUACUUUCAACUUUGUGAUACACUUUCAAAGAGUCGGAUUGUUUGGGGAUGCAGUCCAAAAUGGGUGGUAAAUUUCAUCUAAAGCUAAAUAUUGGCGAGAGACCGAUAGCGAACAAGUACCGUGAGGGAAAGAUGAAAAGAACUUUGAAAAGAGAGUUAAACAGUACGUGAAAUUGUCAAAAGGGAAGCGUUUGACACCAGUGUUGUUUUUUCUGAAAAUCAAUUAAAGAACUGUUUAUGCUAAGUUGUUUAGACUUUAUCAGCUAACUGUUUAGUUUUGAGCUUUUCUUUAAUGCACUUUUCAGUUAACAAGUCAACAUCAAUUUCUUUUGCUGUAAAAAAGCUUGAGGAAGGUGGCUUGAGAUUCGUCUUAAGUGUUUAUAGCCUCUUGCCUAUGCAGUCGGAGAGAUUGAGGUCUGCAGCGUAGAUCCUUCGGGGCUAAAUGCAUUUGUGCUAAGUUAUAGCAUUUUAUAGACAACUUGUUGACUAUGAUUUGUCUUGUAGCUUACUCGCUUAUGUUAUUUUACCUACGCUUAGGAUGUUGAACUCUAUCACACACAG